rnacentral:rRNA from 1 species
ACUCCUACGGGAGGCAGCAGUGGGGAAUUUUGGACAAUGCGCGGAAGCCUGAUCCAGCCAUGCCGCGUGAGUGAAGAAGGCCUUCGGGUUGUAAAGCUCUUUCGGCGGGGAAGAAAUUGCUUGGGUUAAUACCCUGAGUAGAUGACGGUACCCGAAUAAGAAGCACCGGCUAACUACGUGCCAGCAGCCGCGGUAAU